rnacentral:rRNA from 1 species
UACGUAGGGGGCAAGCGUUUGUCCGGAAUCAUUGGGCGUAAAGAGCGUGUAGGCGGCCCGGUAAGUCCGCUGUGAAAGUCCAGGGCUCAACCCUGGGAUGCCGGUGGAUACUGUCGGGCUCGAGUCCGGAAGAGGAGUGUGGAAUUCCUGGUGUAGCGGUGAAAUGCGCAGAUAUCAGGAGGAACACCAAUGGCGAAGGCAGCUCGCUGGGACGUGACUGACGCUGAGACGCGAAAGCGUGGGGAGCAAACAGG